rnacentral:rRNA from 1 species
UCAGGAUGAACGCUAGCGGCAGGCUUAACACAUGCAAGUUGAACGGUAACAGAAAAAGCUUGCUUUUUGCUGACGAGUGGCGAACGGGUGCGUAACGCGUAUGCAACCUACCUUUUUCAGAGGAAUAGCCCAGAGAAAUUUGGAUUAAUACCUCAUAAUAAUAUUUAAUCGCAUGAUUUAAUAUUUAAAGCUUUUGCGGAGAAAGAUGGGCAUGCGUAACAUUAGUUUGUUGGUGAGGUAACGGCUCACCAAGACUACGAUGUUUAGGGGGUCUGAGAGGAUGAUCCCCCACACUGGUACUGAGACACGGACCAGACUCCUACGGGAGGCAGCAGUGAGGAAUAUUGGUCAAUGGACGAAAGUCUGAACCAGCCAUGCCGCGUGAAGGAUGACUGCCCUAUGGGUUGUAAACUUCUUUUAUAUAGGAAGAAACCCCUCUACGUGUAGAGGGUGACGGUACUGUA